ACUUUUAGAAAGCGAGUGAUCAUGCUUAAACCACAAAGAAUCAGAAUUCAUCAACCAGUGUCUCCAAUCAGUGUCUGAAAAGUAGAAACAAGAAUUUGCUUUACCUCUAGAGCAAACAUUAUAAAUGAGUGAUAAACACGUUUUUUUGAUUUCCUAAAAAAGCAAAAACAAAACUAACGGUAUUUUUAAUUGGGAUCAAACUAAACCCAUAAAUCAAUUUAAGAAGAACCGACCAGUUUAACAAUGGUCUUCCAAUUCAUGAAACAGCGAAUGUUGUUUGAUUCUUUCCCUCUUGUUUACUUCUGUGGUUUGGUGGUUUUCUAUAAUGCUAAGCUUUGUUUCCUUUCUUGUUUGUCUAUCUACUAUAAUUUUUCUUG
rnacentral:lncRNA from 1 species